rnacentral:rRNA from 1 species
AAAUUGAAGAGUUUGAUCAUGGCUCAGAUUGAACGCUGGCGGUAGGCCUAACACAUGCAAGUCGAACGGUAACAGGAAGCAGCUUGCUGCUUUGCUGACGAGUGGCGGACGGGUGAGUAAUGUCUGGGAAACUGCCUGAUGGAGGGGGAUAACUACUGGAAACGGUGGCUAAUACCGCAUAACGUCGCAAGACCAAAGAGGGGGACCUUCGGGCCUCUUGCCAUCAGAUGUGCCCAGAUGGGAUUAG